rnacentral:rRNA from 1 species
UUAGAGUUUGGACCUGGCUCAGAUUGAACGCUGGCGGCAGGCUUAACACAUGCAAGUCGAGCGGAGAGAGGUAGCUUGCUACUGAUCUUAGCGGCGGACGGGUGAGUAAUGCUUAGGAAUCUGCCUAUUAGUGGGGGACAACAUUUCGAAAGGAAUGCUAAUACCGCAUACGUCCUACGGGAGAAAGCAGGGGAUCUUCGGACCUUGCGCUAAUAGAUGAGCCUAAGUCGGAUUAGCUAGUUGGUGGGGUAAAGGCCUACCAAGGCGACGAUCUGUAGCGGGUUUGAGAGGAUGAUCCGCCACACUGGGACUGAGACACGGCCCAGACUCCUACGGGAGGCAGCAGUGGGGAAUAUUGGACAAUGGGCGCAAGCCUGAUCCAGCCAUGCCGCGUGUGUGAAGAAGGCCUUAUGGUUGUAAGGCACUUUAAGCGAGGAGGAGGCUACUUUAGUUAAUACCUAGAGAUAGUGGACGUUACUCGCAGAAUAAGCACCGGCUACUC